CAGGCUUAAAGAUGAAUAACAAUGUUUACAUAUAGCUUAAAGAUGAAUACAAUGUUUACAUACGUAAUGUUAACAAAUUAUCCAUUGUAUUUAUAUUUCUCAUACAUCAUUUAUAGAUAUUCAUAGCAUUUCGGCCAAUGACAUGGUUUAAUGUACAUCACGUGUAUCUGGAUACCCCGUCUAGACCACGUCUAAAACACUAACUCGGAUUUGAAAUAUUACUUCUCACAACCUCGUCCCCAGGGCUCAAAAGGCCCUGGGGACGAGGUUGUAUUUCUCAGUGCUUGGUAACCAAGCCUUAAUGUGAUCCCAAAAACAUUUUCUGCCGGCUAGACAAUAUGGCUUUUAUCUUUG